rnacentral:rRNA from 1 species
AACGAACGCUGGCGGCAUGCCUAACACAUGCAAGUCGAACGAGACCUUCGGGUCUAGUGGCGCACGGGUGCGUAACGCGUGGGAACCUGCCCUUAGGUUCGGAAUAACUCCCCGAAAGGGGUGCUAAUACCGGAUAAUGUCUUCGGACCAAAGAUUUAUCGCCUUUGGAUGGGCCCGCGUUGGAUUAGCUAGUUGGUAGGGUAAAAGCCUACCAAGGAGACGAUCCAUAGCUGGUCUGAGAGGAUGAUCAGCCACACUGGGACUGAGACACGGCCCAGACUCCGACGGGAGGCAGAAGUGGGGAAUAGUGGACAAGGGGCGAAAGCCGGAGCCAGCAAUGCCGCGUGAGGGAUUAAGGCCUGAGGGGUGUAAAGCUCUUUUACCCGGGAUGAUAAGGACAGGACCGGGAGAAGAAGCGCCGGCGAACGCCG